rnacentral:snRNA from 1 species
GGAUGUGAGGGCGAUCUGGCUGCGACAUCUGUCACCCCAUUGAUCGCCAGGGUUGAUUCGGCUGAUCUGGCUGGCUAGGCGGGGGUCCCCCUCCUCCCUCACCGAUCCAUGUGCGUCCCUCCCGAAGCUGCGCGCUCGGUCUCGGUCGAAGAGGACGACCUCCCCCCCCCCCCCCCCCCCCCAGGAGAGGACCGGUCUUCGGUCAAGGGUAUACGAGUAGCUGCGCUCCCCUGCUAGAACCUCCAAACAAGCUCUCAAAGUGUAAGAGUUCCUCCUUUUUUACAGCCACGGCACUUGGGCUGU